rnacentral:rRNA from 1 species
CCUACGGGAGGCAGCAGUGAGGAAUAUUGGACAAUGGAGGCAACUCUGAUCCAGCCAUGCCGCGUGAAGGAUGACUGCCCUAUGGGUUGUAAACUUCUUUUAUAUGGGAAGAACUGCAGAUACGUGUAUUUGUUUGACGGUACCAUACGAAUAAGGACCGGCUAACUCCGUGCCAGCAGCCGCGGUAAUACGGAGGGUCCAAGCGUUAUCCGGAAUCAUUGGGUUUAAAGGGUUCGUAGGCGGGCUAAUCAGUCAGAGGUGAAAUCCAGCAGCUUAACUGUUGAACUGCCUUUGAUACUGUUAGUCUUGAGUCAUAUGGAAGUAGAUAGAAUAUGUAGUGUAGCGGUGAAAUGCAUAGAUAUUACAUAGAAUACCGAUUGCGAAGGCAGUCUACUACGUAUUGACUGACGCUGAUGAACGAAAGCGUGGGGAGCGAACGGGAUUAGAUACCCCGGUAGUCCACGCCGUAAACGAUGGACACUAGUUGUUGGGUUUCGGCUCAGUGACUAAGCGAAAGUGAUAAGUGUCCCACCUGGGGAGUACGGUCGCAAGAUUGAAACUCAAAGGAAUUGACGG